GACGUAGGGCGCGAGCGUUGUCCGGAUUUAUUGGGCGUAAAGAGCUCGUAGGCGGCUUGUCGCGUCGACUGUGAAAUCCCGCGGCUCAACUGCGGGUCUGCAGUCGAUACGGGCAGGCUAGAGUUCGGUAGGGGAGACUGGAAUUCCUGGUGUAGCGGUGAAAUGUGCAGAUAUCAGGAGGAACACCGGUGGCGACGGCGGGUCUCUGGGCCGAUACUGACGCUGAGGAGCGAAAGCGUGGGGAGCGAACAGG
rnacentral:rRNA from 1 species